CGUGCUUGGGCGAGAGUAGUACUAUGAUGGGUGACCUCCUGGGAAGUCCUCGUGUUGCACCCC
rfam:Arabis alpina cultivar Pajares scaff_72628_1_contig_0, whole genome shotgun sequence.